GGUCCCAUCGUCUAACGGUUAGGACACUGGCCUCUCACGCCAGUAACAGGGGUUCGAAUCCCCUUGGGAUCACCA
rnacentral:tRNA from 1 species